UCUAGAUGAAAACUUUCACAGAAGAGUGGAGGCUGUUAUAGCAGCAAAGGGGGGACCAACUCCAUAUUGAUAACCAUGAUUUUGGAAUGAGAUGGUCGACGAGCACUUCCGCCGGAAUGCAGAGUUUGAAGUAUCUGGUGGACAUGAGGCUUUAAGGCAGCCCCCCGCAGCCCUGACUCAGUGGAGUUGGGUUAAAUGAGGAAGACACAUUACUGUUUAAUGCAUUCAGUUAUGCAACUGACUAGGUAUCCCCCCUUUCUCUUUCCCUCUCUCAUACAGACUCUGUUGCCAAUUGAAUAAAGCGUGACUUUGUCAACCGUAUCUCUCCCACAGCUUCCUGGACAAAAUGGCAACAGAGUGCGGAUGGUGCGUCCCACAUUCCCGUCACCGUUCGUCCCCGAUGUCCUCCUCCUUAUCCUUGGGCUACUGCUUUGGAACUAUGCUUCAGUCACCUCGCUAAUUAUUUAAGAGCCACCAUCUCAUUAACAGUGCUGGGAGGUAAUACAUGAUUUAUGGGCCAUUCUUCAUGUCGACCUCUGUUCAUGUCCCUCAGCCCUCCUCCUGCCUCACAAGUUAUAUCUCUGUUUGUCCACCCUGGUGUCUCUCCCCCUCAUUCUCCUUGUUUGGUCAGGUUCCUGGCUUUAACUCAAUAUGAGGACUGUGAAAAUGUUGCGGCUGGAUGCCGAGCAGGAAGUGCAGUGAAGAAGAACGAGAGAUAGGUGUGUCUUCCCUCCAACCACCUGGGCAGGAAACACAAAAAGAGAAUGUUGUGUGGAUUGUGUCUUCACUACAUUAUUGGUACAAAAAUGGUUGACUCUAGCCACGUUUAUACCUGGUUCUAAUAUGCGUCUUUGUCCUGAUCUUGUCCUCAUUCUGAUUGUGCCCACAUUUUUAGAUAGGUGUAGACAAUUAAAAGACACAUUGUGAACUGAUUUUGAUCAGAUCUUAUGUGUAAACAGGCAAGAUCGGGACAAAAUAAGGAUGAAGGACGCAUGUUAGCAGCAGGUACUGUAUAAACAGGGCUAGAGAGACUGGUCACAGAUACAAUGCACGUUCAGAAAUAGUAACUCAUCACUAGACAGACUGAAUCGCGC
ensembl:lncRNA